rnacentral:rRNA from 1 species
CCCGGCGACCGGCGCACGGGUGAGUAACACGUAUGAAACCUGCCCGUAGCAGGGGGAUAAGCGGAAGAAAUUCCGUCUAAUACCGCGUAACAACCCAUGGAGGCAUCUCUGUGGGUUUAAAGGAAGCGAUUCCGGCUACGGAUGGUCAUGCGACGCAUUAGCUUGUUGGCGGGGUAACGGCCCACCAAGGCGACGAUGCGUAGGGGUUCUGAGAGGAAGGUCCCCCACACUGGAACUGAGACACGGACCAGACUCCUACGGAAGGCAGCAG